UACGGGGGGGAGCAAGCGUUGUUCGGAUUUACUGGGCGUAAAGGGCGCGUAGGCGGCGCAACAAGUCACUUGUGAAAUCUCCGGGCUUAACCCGGAGCGGUCAAGUGAUACUGUCGUGCUAGAGUGCGGAAGGGGCUACUGGAAUUCUCGGUGUAGCGGUGAAAUGCGUAGAUAUCGAGAGGAACACCAGUGGCGAAGGCGACUUCCUGGCCUGUUCUUGACGCUGGAGGCGCGAAAGCGUUGGGGAGCGAACAGG
rnacentral:rRNA from 1 species